rnacentral:rRNA from 1 species
CGCUGGCGGCGUGCUUAACACAUGCAAGUCGAACGGAAAGGCCCCCUUGUGGGGUACUCGAGUGGCGAACGGGUGAGUAACACGUGAGUAACCUACCCUUGACUUUGGGAUAACUUCAGGAAACUGGGGCUAAUACCGGAUAGGAGCUCCUGCUGCAUGGUGGGGGUUGGAAAGUUUCGGCGGUUGGGGAUGGACUCGCGGCUUAUCAGCUUGUUGGUGGGGUAGUGGCUCACCAAGGCUUUGACGGGUAGCCGGCCUGAGAGGGUGACCGGCCACAUUGGGACUGAGAUACGGCCCAGACUCCUACGGGAGGCAGCAGUGGGGAAUAUUGCACAAUGGGCGGAAGCCUGAUGCAGCAACGCCGCGUGCGGGAUGACGGCCUUCGGGUUGUAAACCGCUUCCGCCUGUGACGAAGCGUGAGUGACGGUAAUGGGUAAAGAAGCACCGGCUAACUACGUG